AACCUGGCAAUGGAGUUCUGUACAGGAGGUUCGGUGCAGGAUAUUUAUGAAGGCUCUGCAGUAUCUCCACAGGUCCAGCAUCAUCCACAGGGACAUCAAAGCUGGAAAUAUUCUGCUGACCAACGAGGGCGACCCGACUUCGGACUCACCGCUAAUGUCCCCAAGUCCAGUGGGAGAAGGAACUAAGUCAGUGGUUGGGACGACACAUUGCUGCGGUGGAUGUACCCACUUAUCCCACACCUGUCGGAUGGCAGCCAGUUUGUCACGAUCAUCGAAACGGAUGAUUCUUGAGAUGAUGUGGAAUGUCUUCAGUGGCAUAGUGGCAUGAAAAAUUGCCCUCCCAUACUCUGAAUGCCAAAGGCUGCAUGUAGCCUCUUUACUGGACCGGUAGACACCUGCAAGAAUCAAAAGACCCAGGUAUCUUCUUCUUCCAGUCGUCACCAUAAACACAAUGCCAUUCCUUGUUGGUAAUUUCCAGCAAAAUCUUUUCAAUUUCCUGGCAUAAAUAACUGACUUUAUGCUAUCAGCACGAGAAUCCGCAUACCUUGUUGGCCCUUGGGGGCUCCUUUCUGCAC
rnacentral:lncRNA from 1 species